rnacentral:rRNA from 1 species
UACGUAGGGGGCAAGCGUUGUCCGGAUUUACUGGGCGUAAAGGGCGCGUAGGCGGCUUGUCAAGUCACUUGUGAAAUCUCUGGGCUUAACCCAGAACGGCCAAGUGAAACUGACAUGCUAGAGUGCAGAAGGGGCAAUCGGAAUUCUUGGUGUAGCGGUGAAAUGCGUAGAUAUCAAGAGGAACACCUGAGGUGAGGACGGGUUGCUGGGCUGACACUGACGCUGAUGCGCGAAAGCCAGGGGAGCAAACGGG